UACGUAGGGUGCAAGCGUUAAUCGGAAUUACUGGGCGUAAAGCGUGCGCAGGCGGUUUUGUAAGUCUGUUGUGAAAUCCCCGGGCUCAACCUGGGAAUGGCAAUGGAUACUGGCAAGCUAGAGUGUGUCAGAGGAUGGUGGAAUUCCCGGUGUAGCGGUGAAAUGCGUAGAGAUCGGGAGGAACAUCAGUGGCGAAGGCGGCCAUCUGGGACAACACUGACGCUGAGGCACGAAAGCGUGGGGAGCAAACAGG
rnacentral:rRNA from 1 species